UAACAGUAACUAGCAAAUGAUUAAUUUUAAUUCCUUGUAGCUAAUACUACAUUAGCUACCCGGUCUAAAGUUACUAAAGCAUGCAAAUGAGUCUGAUCAUUUUUCCACCUUAGCCUCUGUCGUUCUAAGCCAUACUCUGCGUCCUCCUCUGUUCACAUCCACCCGAGCGCUGCCUCCGAACGGGGGACGAUCAGCAGCGAAGCCGACACGCGCACCAUGGCGCUGUCAGCUUUGCACUAGCGCCCUCUCGUGGUGCUUCGAAGGAAAGAGCUGAGCGGGCCUGCGUUUCCUAGCAGCAGCAAUAGGAUGCCCAGACGCAGCGAUUUGCAAAGCUCCUUUAUGCUCAAAAGGGUGAAAAACUGGGUUAACUACAGUCUGCGCCAACAAAUCUAACCGGUGCGGAAGACUGCUCCACCAAAACACCCGUCAUAUCCUUUCAGGACAAUGACACCUAUGGAACGAGCCGGCCGCUGCGUACUGUCCUCGCGUUAUUCAGCCGUCUGAGUUAGAACUGCGAGGAAGAUCGGAUGAGAUCUCAAACCGGGUUCGGAUAACCAGGCGCGGGCUGCUUAGGACGAAGCAGCGGAACAGGGGCACCGCCUGCUCACCGCCCCUGUAGGAGAGCUACGGGCAGGCUCCGUACCUCUGCCACGCAGCGCCCCACCACAGCCGGAGCUGCCGGCUCACCCGGGGCGGGCACAGAACACCCUGAGCGGCGGCGGGCAGGGUCCGCGCGCAGCCUCCGUGAGGGCAGGCAGGCGGGACUCGGCGCGGCGCAUGCGCAGCACAUACUCCGCACGGCCGCGGCGGGAAGCGUACGGCGGUACGGUCCGCGCGGUCUCGUGCUGCGGAGAGCGGCCCGCUCGCCGCCCCUCGGCCAUGAACACGGAGAACUUCGGGACCAGCGAGCGGCUGGUGACCGCCGCCUACGUGCGUCAGGGGGCGCAGGGCCGCCGCGGGCACGAGCUGCGCCUGCGGGCGCUGCUGGAGCAGGGAAAGUGCCCUGAAGAUGGAUGGGAUGAAAGCACCAUUGAACUCUUCCUUCACGAACUUGCCAUAAUGGACAGCAAUAACUUUCUGGGCAACUGCGGUGUGGGAGAGAGGGAAGGCAGAGUGGCGUCAGGACUUGUUGCCCGGAGGCACUAUAGGUUGAUCCAUGGAAUUGGAAGAUCAGGAGAUAUUUCUGCAGUCCAGCCUAAAGCUGCAGGGUCUAGCCUUUUGAACAAGCUUACUAAUUCAGUAGUUCUGGAUAUUAUAAAGCAGGCUGGUGUCCGGACGGUGACCAAUUGCUUUGUGGUUCCUAUGGCAACUGGCAUGAGUCUAACUCUGUGUUUUUUAACAUUGCGGCACAAAAGACCAAAGGCAAAAUACAUUAUUUGGCCACGUAUAGACCAGAAAUCUUGCUUUAAAUCAAUGAUAACUGCAGGUUUUGAGCCUGUGGUGAUAGAAAAUGUAUUAGAAGGUGAUGAGCUACGGACAGAUGUCGAAGCAGUGGAGGCUAAAGUCAAGACUCUUGGUGCUGAAAAUAUUCUUUGUGUGCAUUCUACAACGUCUUGCUUUGCUCCAAGGGUACCUGAUAGGCUGGAGGAAUUGGCUAUAAUUUGUGCUAAUUAUGACAUUCCCCAUAUUGUCAACAAUGCAUAUGGAGUUCAGUCUUCAAAGUGUAUGCAUCUUAUCCAGCAGGGUGCUCGAGUAGGCAGAAUAGAUGCUUUUGUUCAGAGCUUGGACAAAAAUUUUAUGGUUCCAGUAGGUGGUGCUAUCAUUGCUGGCUUCAAUGAGUCCUUCAUUCAGGAGAUCAGCAAAAUGUAUCCAGGAAGAGCUUCUGCAUCUCCUUCUUUAGAUGUCCUCAUUACACUUCUGUCUCUAGGUGCCAGUGGCUACAAACAGUUACUGAAAGAGAGAAAGGAAAUGUUUUCCUAUCUUUCAAGUGAGCUGAAGAAGUUGGCAGAUAUCCACAAUGAGAGACUGUUGGAUACACCACAUAAUCCCAUAUCCUUAGCCAUGUCACUGAAGAAUCUAGAUGAAAAUAAUGAUGCAGCUGUUACCCAGCUUGGAUCUAUGCUUUUUACAAGACAAGUUUCUGGAGCAAGGGUUGUUCCCCGUGGGUCUGUGCAAACAGUGAAUAACUAUACUUUUAAAGGCUUUAUGUCACAUGCAAAUGACUACUCCUGUGCUUACCUCAAUGCUGCAUCAGCAAUUGGAAUUAAAAAGCAAGAUGUAGACAUCUUCCUAAAAAGACUGGACAAGUGUUUGAAGGCUUCUAAAAAAGGGAAAGAAAAAAGUGUGAAUGAAAUAUGUACUUCUAAUACAGUCACAGAACAACUUGAAGACCAGAAGAUACAGACAUAGUAACACAGGAAGAUGCACUUUUGUUUGAAGUAUGUCAGGUUUGUAUUGGGGUAGCACUGUCAAUCUGCAGUGCAGAAAAUUUGGUCCUAAUCUGAAAAAAACACCAUAAAAAAAAACCCCAAAAACUAGGUGAUAUUCUCCUGUUCUCUCUUACUGGAAAGUCAGACACAAGCAUUUUGCACCACAUAAAUAUUCUUAAUAUGCCAAAGUGAAGAUGUACAUUCAUAAAAUCCUUCAGCUGGCCUGUCAGUCUGUGGGUGGCUGUUGGGGCUGGUGUUUAUCAAAUCACAGAAUACUUAGGCACAUGUUGAUUAACAAGAUUUUCUGUAGCAGUGAUUGAAUUUCUUUUUAGGUCUAGGUAUACAACCAACAAGAAAUGUUUUACUGCUCUCAAAAUGUCCUGCUUUACUCAGCUUACUUUCACUUUUAUUUCUGAAGAUGUAUAUAGAAAUGCUGGGGAUAACCCCUUACUAAAUACAAUGUUGAAACUGGAUGAGGAAAUUGUAGAGUUGGAAUAGUAGUCUUUUUAGGUGUUCUUACCUCUCAGGAACUGCCUAGAACAAAGUAGCCCUCAGUGGCAAAGAACUUAGGAUACCUAAUAUCCUGUCAAUACUCAGCUCUUGGAAAUAUUUGCAUAGUUCAGCAACCCAGAGGAAUUUUGAGGGAGUACCGUGAUAAAAAUGUCAGACUGUGGGGUGGAGUGAAGCAGGAGUUGUCCUCUUUGUCUCUUCUUUGAUAGUUGCUACUGAAUAAGGCAGUUAGGUCAGAGAUGCACUCAAAAGGUGGAAUGCUUUGUGGGAUGACUGCAGCAGUUCAGCUCCACUGAAACCAGAGGGUAUUUUGCAUUUUUAGUCCAUCGUUUUUAAAGUUUAUAGACAUCCACUUCUGAACCAUCUCCUGCCAUUGGCACUGUUGCUUCUGUGUCUGUGUGCAGUUACUGAUUUGAAUUCAUUAACAAAACAAUAGAUUCAGAGUCUGUUCCUGAAACAAAGGUUCCAUAUCACCGGAAUGACAGUGCUGUAGGUUACAAAAUUUUUUGUUAAUUAUUCUUAAAUGCAAUUACCACACUGUAUGUAGAUUUUUAUGUCAUUUACUGUUCAAAGUGAGCUUAGCAUUCAAAGAUGUUUUUCUUUGUUUGUAACGUAGUAAUCCUUGUGACACCGCAGUUAAUGAAUUCUAAAUGUCAGGAAACAUUCUAGUUACUUUGUUUGGUGGGAUCUGAGACAUGUAUUCUCAGAGCCCUCUGGAAAUUGCCUUAUCAAUAUUGUGCUUUUGAAAGGAUUGUCCCUCUACUGUGCUCAAAUGAAUUGAUACAAGAGAUGAUGUUAGUACUUGGAAAUUAAUAGUAUGCUAAUCACCAUCAAAGUGGUCUCACUUAGUGAAGUUCAUUGUAUCUUUAGCCUAAAUUGAACUGCUGCUUUUACACUGUUAUUGCUAGUUACACUUCAGAUUGAUUAAAGCUUGUGGAAGGGAGGGCUCUCUGGACUGCAGUCACAGUUGUUAUUUGCUGUACUAACGUGUCUUAAGAGAAAGAUAAUGCAAGUUGACCACUGAGUCCUUGUGGCCAUAACUAGAUAUAGAUAUAGAUUUUGUUUUGUUUUGUUUUGUUCUGAAAUGAUGCUAUACCACGAUUUUUCCAGUCAGGAAAGCUCUCCUUUAGCCUUGGGAGACAGAGCUGUGCAGCUCACCCUGCCCUCGGCACUCAGCGUAUGGGAACAGCCAGUGGAAACCACAGGGCCUUAGUGAUACCUUUCUUCUUGUUUUGGGAUAUUGUUGUCACAUGCUUGAAUGAGCAUAAGUUAGUGAUUUAAUUGAUUAGUUACAGAAUACAAAUAUUAGAGCUAUUGUUAUGAGCUUAGGGAGGUGCAUGGUAGCAGCUACAAUAAGGAUUUGAUAAGCAAUAUCCUGAAACUGAAAACAAGAAAACAGCGAUUGCCUUUUCUGAGAGGAAAAGACCUCUGCCUUUUAUGUUCUUGUAAUAAAUUGUCUGCUGCAAAUAAUUCACUCUCUUCUGCUCUAGAUUGAACUGCUUUCUCAGGUAGUGUUUUUCCCAUCUUCAAAAUGUUUCCCAUUUGAAGUCAAACAUAAAAAUUUCAACAGAUCUCUCGGAACAAGUAUCCAGGGAAAGAAUUGAAGUGUUUCAUUCUGAUUUUGUGCGUUAAAACCUUGUAUUUUCUAAUUGAAAAACAUUUUAAGAUGAGACUUGUGGUUACCAUUUUUUUUUAAUUUCUGUGUCACUAAGGCUGUUCACAAAUCUUCGUGGUGCCACCUGAAGCCACGCGGUUUAAAGUACUUUGACAAAUGUGCCCAUUGUGAGGUCACAGCUUGUAGCAAUCAGCGGUGAGAGAAGAAGUAAGCACAUGAAAUUUUCCAGAAGAAUUUAAGGUCCAGAAAUGUAGGAGGUUACUAUUCUUGCUACCAGUUUGUUGCUCUGCCAGAAGUUACUGCCCUGUAGCAGAGGUAGCAAAGCCAUCCAUCUGCUUGGCAACUGCUGCAAUCCAUACAGCGUUGGAACAACUGCUGAAACUGAGGUGUGUUAAAGUGAGCACUGAGAGUAUGAAAAACUGCCUGUGAAGCAAGGGUGUUUCCUCUUCUACUUCUGCGGAAAAUAUAGACGCAGAUGCCUGCUUCUGAAAUGGUAACCUUUGGCACCGGGGCAGGGUGUGUGGGUAGGCAGAAGCCUCUCACACUGCUGCAGUUUGAAUCACUGAAGUGACUUAUGCCCCCUAAGGUGCCUGUAAUUGUUCUGUGAGAUGCUUUUCUCUCCCUUUGAUAUUACAUCUUAUGCUGUCUGGAUCUACAUAGGUGAAAUAAAUGAAGGAGCAGAUGGACUUGCCUUAUAAAAAUAGCACUGGGAUAAUACAGCGCAGGCAAACUGACACCGAAUGACCCAUCUCACAGACCCACUCUUAGUUUACUUUUGUAGUAUCUGAGAUAAUGAACAAAACUAAGGACUAUUUGAGCAAUAACAUUGCCUAUUCACGCUUCAUUCGUAACGAUUGCCUCAGAUACAAAGCAAAUAAAAGCUACCAGAUGCAGCAAAUUCUCUUGAGCCUAAGAAAGCAAAACUGUAAUGUUGCAAAUGUAAAUGCUGGCAUUGCAGCUUAAUACACAUAUAAACCGAGCGAUCUAUAUUGUGCGAUCAUCAUUUUUUAAGAAAGGCUGGAGCCCAGAGACUACCAAAUGUUCUCAUCUGCAGUGUAUCAGCAGUUCUCAGUCUUCAGCUGCUGUAUAGAUAAUAAUUCUAAUUGAAGAAUCAUUACGCGAAUCCAUAUGUGAGUGAGAGAUGGGCUAUAGCCUUUUGUUCAUGAUGCCUUAAAAAUUGAGUUGCCGUUUUCACUUUUUGUAAAGGGUAAUUAGAUUGCCUCAUUUUUUAAAAUGCAACAUUUUAAUCAACCUGGCUUGGCAGCGUUUGGAAUCUGAAGGAAAAAUAAUCAAUGUAACUGACAAUUUUUUUAAACAAUAGCUAUUUAAAGGCUUGAAUGGUUACAAAGUGACUUUCCUCAGAGAGAACCUUUGUUCAAAUGGCUUUAAUUUUGAAACGAGUGCUUGAAAAAUUGUGCUGUAUGUGCUCUGCAAUAAUAGUUUUUCAUGUAUUACACUUUUUUCCCUCAAACAUAAUGACAUUUUAGUGGUUUAAUAAUGCUAUUUAAAAAUUAUAGUUAAAAGGGCAUUUGCUCUGUCAGAGUUACUCAUCAAGCAUCAGUCAUAUCAAAUUACCAGUAAUAGAUUUAUCUUGAUGGACCAGCUCCAGUGUUUUGGACCAGUUUCACUAUAACUGGACCAAGUUUGCAUUACUCCUUUUCGGGUCCUAAAGUCAAGUUCACAGACAAAGAGUGGGUUGAUAAUUCUAUCUGCUGCUGAACGGGAGACUUGAGGCUGAAAUCAAAGCUGAUCCAGUUCAGGAGCUGAAUUGCUUUCUAAAUGUGGAUGGUGAAACUUAAUUUGCCUUUAGAUCCAGCCUGAGUCCGCUAUAGCAGAAUUCUAACUGCUUUUGUCUCUUUAACCUAACAUGAAUAGAGGGAGUAGAGCAGUUUCACCUGGGUGCUGUCUCUCCUAUUGCUCUGUCUUAAAGAGCUUCAAACAUUGGGCUGCCAUCUUACACAUUGUUACUUCUGGUCUCUUGGUUGUUGAGGUGGGCAGUUGGUCUUGCACAAACAUUGCAGGAAAAUAGGUGGAUGCAUUAAUUAUUCUGUCUCUCGGCAUCCCAAGUAGGAACACCAAAUUACUGGGAAUUCAGGACAAGCAUGUAGUGUUUCUACAGAUCCAUUCUUUCCAAAAGCUGCUUCUUGGGUGCAUCUCUUGCGGCUGAAAGGUGCAGGAAGAGCACAUGGCUAAGAUACAAGUAGAAGGAGCAACGCCUCCAGCAUUUUGGAGGUUUCUAGAUUGGUUGUGUUUGGGUUUUGCUAUGCAGGAAGUUCUUCAUGCCGUGUCAGCUCUUUUAAAAUGUUUGCAGGUAUUCUCAUCCCUUACCUAAAUGGCUUCGUACUGGGACUCAAAUGCAGUGGCAAGAUCUGGCUGCAGAAAGAGAAAGGAUGGGGUGCCCAAGCAGAGGAAGGCAUUCCACUUAUUUUGAUACUGGACUGCCCAGCAGGUGUGGCAUGUAAAACGAGUCUGCAGACCAAAUACUGUUGAGCAAGUUGUUCAUGCUGUAACUUUUGUUUUUUGUAGUCUUAGGAACUAUGGGUGGAAAGUACACUUAGUUUGGUUCUGUAAUACGUCAGACAAGGAAUGCAGCUGACGAGGAAAGAAGAAUCUGUCCAACAGAACUGAAGAGACGCAUCAAAACGCAGCUCUCAUUUUACGCCCUCCUUAUAAUAUUAGCCAUUUCUAUUACUUGGGCAUCUUCCUUUGAAAGACCCUUCUCCCCUUACCCUAUUUUUGUCUGUUUUUUUUAGCAGACUUUGUUGUACUGCUGCAUAAGAAAAAUGUACUGCCUACCAGUGCGUGGCUAUCCCCAUUGAUGCAGAACUUCACAGGCAUGAGAGGGCAGCAGGUGUGAGCGCACACACUGCUGGCUUCUUUCUGUUUGAGGGCUUUUAAGCAGAAAGUGGAUACAAAGAUAUUUGUUAAAAAUGAUAUAGCUGGUGCUAUUAAAAUUCGAGCUCAUGUUCCAGGCAGAUGGCACAAGCUGUCACGCUCUGGCUGUUUGUUCUUAUUUUUUUAACAAUCAGCCCAGUGUUAACUAUGUGUUCUGUACCAGGGCAGCACCUCCAGCUGCAGGAAGAUGCGCAGCAUAUCCCUCCCUGGCAGCAGAUGUUCUGGCUGGGCCCCUCGCAGCUCCUCGGCCCUCUCUGAGUCUUGCACUUCAGCCUCCUUUGCUCUGAGGCCUCCCUGAAGUGACAUGUUUCUCGGUGACAAGGAGGCAGCGGUGUCUGCUGAUGGUCUUCACAUCUACAUGCACCUUUCAGAGUGCCCUGUGGAGCCCUCACACAGUGAUUUGUGGCCCAGUGUGCACCAAGCAGGUGAGGAAGUUUUGUUUUCACCCUGAGGUUGGCAGGACAAUGCUACCUCAUUGCUUGAAUGCUGCUGUCAGCAACAAAAGCUGGGUACGCUGUGGGGAGUGCAAUAUCACGGCUUCCUCAGCAAGACCAUAAGGGCCACGUGGGUUUGCUAAGGGGAGGAGUGGGGUGGGGGUGUUCUUCCCCCAUGUCUGCAGUGACGACGUGCUUCAUGCCCUGAAUACUGAAAUAUCACUGCAGCUGCCAGGCAGGGAAGGCAUGGUGGCACCCAAAGGUGGGAGUUAGGCAGAGGGGAGCUGUGCUGCCAGCUUGAAGCUGCCUGGUCUGCUGAUCCCAGAGAGAUCUGCGAUUUCUUCUGUAGGUGCAGCAGCUCUGCAGUGCUCACAGGAAGAAGAAAAGAUCAGACAAGUGUGUUUUUGUCGUGGAAGCAAGUUGCUGUGACUCAGUGCUCCCGGGGCACUGCUGAGCUCAGCUAAAAUAAGCUGUGUGCAUUUAGUUCCUAAAACUGCAUUUCUGAGGCUCCUUUCACAUCCUUCUUGCAAGAGCAUUUGCAGACCCUCAUUUUCCCCUACCGUGCACUUUCUGCAGAUUUGCACAUCUGUGCAAAUGGUGCUAAGACUCAGCCUUUUUGACAUGAUAGCAUUUAGCAUAUAUGCUGCAUCUCCUUGGCACAAGCGUUGGAGGCCGUGGCAGGGGCGAGGCAGCAGGGAAUCAGCCAGUUGUUUGCAGCCUUCUCCGCAGGCCUCAGGUCAGAGCUCUUCUCCUUGCCCCCAGCACUCUGCCAUCAGCAGCUGUUAGCCGUGUUAGCGCAUCGCGCUUUUUCCCCUCGAGGCCGAGCACAUUAUCUCUGCAACACUCCAGCACCUUGCUGGGAACACGCCACCGUUCUGCUUUCGAAGUGUUUUGUUAAUGCCAGUGACCUUGACGGUGUGACCACAACACCUGCUUCACCUGAUAAGAUCAUUAAUUUUUCUCUGCAGCCUUUGUGUUGAGUGUAAGCAAAUCUUCAUUUGUACCUGGAAAACGUUGCCCAAACACCAGCUUCCUGAGCACUGACCUGCAUCUCCCUGUAUUUUUUAAGGCAUGAAGUAGCCAAUUAGAAGAAAUCCCUUCAAUGGAAGUAGGGUGAAGGCGAGCCCCCGGCUAGCUGCGGUGGAGCAGGAUGCGGGCAGCAGUGGCUGUCCCUGCGCUGCGGCGGCAGCUGCCUGUCACCCAGCAUGACAGCGGCCAGCUGAUCCAUACCCUCCCUGAGCCGCAGAGAUAAGCCACGCACACACAAUAAGUGCACUCCCAAAAUAAACACAUUGAGAAAAGCAGGGUCUUUUUGAUGAUAAAUGCUCCCAACCUGCUAGCAGCUCUCUGUUAGUUCACCAGCUUGCUGCCAUUCUGUAUGCCUGCAUCCUCCAUCUGUCGGGGUGGGACCGUCCCAGGGCACGCAGGCUGUGCUGUCCAGGCCCUCUGCUGCCAUGACAUGGUGCCGCGCCUCUCCGUGUGGUGUUGGUCAGGGUCACUGGCAAAUGGCUGCAAUGGCUCCAGGACUCAGUGUGAGUGGAAGAGCGGUAACCCCGGAGUGCUGUGAAGGGGGUCGUGCUCGUUCAGGCCUCACCCCAGGCCCAUGUGCAGCAGGACUCCAGGGCUGACACAUUUGUUUUUGAUUUAUUGAUCAGGCAUAAAUGUAUUAAAUGAUAAAGUAGCUCCAGCUUCCUUCUCCCAUUCUGUUCUUCUACCAUGGCAGUGCUGAUCUUCUCUGCGUGCAUCAGGCAGUCAUGAGGCUCUUCUCUCCCUUCCUCAUCCUUACUUUGGGUGGAUGUCCUGCUCCACGGCCCCUGAUCAUAGCCUUCCCUGCUCUCCUGUCACACUGGGGCUGAGGCUGCUGCUGCUCUGCCCUACUCUACAGCCGCAAACACUGUCUUUAAGAGUCUCAUUGCCUCAAUAAAAACACGGUGGUGUAAGCACUGUGUCCUGGAAGUGCAGGGGAUGACGGUACCUCAGAAGAUCGAUCAUGUCACUGGUGUAGGGCAAGAGCACGUGCACGGAAAGGGAACAUCACAGCCUGCAGGACCGGGCAUGGGACAGGCAGCCCCAGCCACGCUGUCCCUGUGCUGUGUCACUUCUGGGUGCGAGGUGCAGAUUGCUUCAACUCUCCCUUUUUGAGCUUUUUGAGCUGUUUGCUAUUUAGACAAGGAUAAAUAUACUUUUGUCUGGAUAAGGUUUGCCAUAGGAUUCACAAGACCAAAUGCCACGUUAUGGCAGAUACAGGGACAAAAUCAGCAGCUCCCAUUUUCUAGGCUGGUGUUUUUGACCAGCUGGCCUCUUUGAUAAUUUCAAAGGGCCUUGGAUAAAAGGAGCUUAGAAAAUAUAAAGGCCUCUGAUUUCCUUCCAGAGACAUUGCGCGGGAGCAGGGAAGAAACACUUAACCAUCAGCAUUUCUGUCGUUCUCAGGUUACGGCCAUAAAAUUCCAGUUUUCAGGCCUGUCAGCAGAUAUUUUUCUUAAGUAUUUGAAGUACCUCAGCAGUGUUAUUUACAUAGCCUCUUGUGCACUGGCAAUCCCGCCUUUGAAGUCCACGGUUUUAGGAAAGUUGCUUACAAACAACUUAUCCACGUGCAAUGAAAGUCUGUUCAUAUUAUAAAACACAUUUUAAGCUGUUCCUUGUACCUUUUCAGAAAUCAAUCUAAAAUAAGAUUUUUACAGAGAAUAUUUCAGCCCUUUCAGUUAAUCAGAAACCAUUCAUUUUCUUUCCGGUUCUAUCUCAGAGCAGAUAUUUCCCUUCAAAAUUUAGCAGAGGGAGUGCAGAGCAGCAACAUUCCCAGCAUGUCUCAACAAUAAAAUAGAAAGAAUAUAAAAAUACCUAAAGUAAAAGGCAAAAAAUAACAAGAAGAGUAACUUUUGAGUUAUGUUUCUGAAAGAAAAAUCAUUAUUUGUUCGAUUUGAAAUAUUGUCUUUACCUAAUAAUGUGCCAUAAAAUCUCCAUCACCUAAGGCACACUCAAUCCAAACCUACACAAAAUUUUCCAUACAAUUUCAUAUUUUCCUUGUAUAUUUUCAGUACACAAAUACCUUUAUAAGAUUCUUGUGAAAUCCUGGUAUGUUUAAUAGCUAACAGAAAUAGUAACUACAUUUAGAAAUGCCGAACAUUUACAAACAAAGUCACUUUUUCUUUUAAGUAAUAAACACAUACUGCAGGGAGAGACAUAAGAGAUGCACUCUGUAUUUUGGACAAAGCAGUGUUUGUAAAUGGACUGGAACUUAGCAGGAUAUUGAUCGCUGCCUCUUGGGCUCACCAAGCACAAGCAUCUCCCAGCAGAAUUGUUCCCUCUUGCUGCUGCCCUUUAUUUAACUGCUUGUUAAAUGGAAGAAAGAUAACAAAGGCAUGAGAUAAAACAGUGCUGUUUGGGAAUGCCUUAGAACAAAUCCAGUUACAUGUUAAGAGAGCUGCAGGAGAGGGGUCUGAUCCUGCAAAUGAUCUUUGGGGAAAGCUGAUGCUCUCACGGGUGCUUGGCACAAUCCUGGGCAAAGGCCUCAGGUCCUCAUAGGUCUUCAUCAAAUCUUCCCACAUCACCUUUUCCCAAUAAUAUUGAACCCCUCUAAGCCAUUCCUGAUUCCUCUGAGUGAAGUUUUCUAGCUAACAGGCUAGCAACAAAAGUGGUAAUAAUAAUAAGAGAAGGCAAAGAUGGGCAGAAGGAGCAGACAAAUAAUUGCAUAUAGCUUGUAGAUUUACUAUGACAGCAACUGUAUUGCUCCAAGUCAGAUGUGCCAUUGUAGAAACCCAUUUAUAGCUGGUCAGUCAACAGCUGGUAGGAAAAAGCCCCCAGAAUGCUCAGUUCAACAAGUCCUAGCUUAUUUCCACACGGCUCUUGAGACCGCUGAAGCUAUGAUGGAUGGCACCUUGCUUGAAAUCUCCUUUCCCGAAAAGCACAAGACUGCCAAUAUUUGUAAGCUUUACUUACACAGGUCAGCAAAUAUAAUAGACAAAUAUGCAGGGCAAAAUGCAUUUUGAUUGAUUAGAUCGGCUUUAGAGAGAAGGUACAUGUUCGUUAUUAAGGAUAUUUAUCUUUUCAUCUUUUGCACUGUGCUGCUUGUUAGAGCUGAUGGAGCUUUUUGCGUGUAUUUUUAAAUACUGGUAAGUGUGAAAGACAUAGGAAAGGCUUUUCAGUGAAUUUUCUCUUACUUAACUGAAAUGAGGUCAAAUCUAACUCUGACCUAAUCAUAUCUUGUUAAACUCUAAUAGAAUGUAUUUCCCAGAUACUCACUGCAUUAUUGAGAAUCAACCUAAACUACAGCACAAGAAGGGCAACUAAGAAUCCUGUUUUUACAAAUAGUUCAAGUGUUAGUUACUAAAACAAAUAUCACAUUAGCAAUUGUUUUUUCUGUUUUAUCUGCAGAAGCGUACUCAGGAAUCCUCCAGGUUUUUCCGUCUAAAAUCGUCGCCAAUAGGUGGUGCUAACAAUUUCCAAAUUCAGUACGAGUUGGUCCCCUUUGUUCCUCAAGCAAACCCUCCUGCCCUCGUCUUCCUGGCACAUCUUCCUCUAAGCCUGUUCUUGAUGAUAUGCUAUUCCCAGCAGAUUAAUCUAAUUUUUCGUACUCCUCCUUUGCUGCUCUGACCUUUAGUCGCUCUUGCGUGCUGGUCUGUGGGUUUUCCCUGCGCUCCAUUUGGUUGCAGCCAACUGUCGAGCAGAAAUUCCUGGGAAUGCGAUUCCCGCGCCCGGGGCUUUGGCUGCGCUCCCAAAGAACUUACCUUUGUCUUUGUUCAAAGUUCUUUGAUCUUGACUGUGUUUUUCCAUUCUUUCUUGAAGUGGGUCUUAAUGCUGCUCCAAAGCAAAUAAAUCAUUUUCACUCCAACUCAUCUUUAAUACAGCUUUUUAAAAUUCUGCAUUUGAAAGCAGAAGGCAAAAUGUAAAGGAAGGAAAGGUCAUAUAAAUAUAAGGCAAAGUCAAAUGAUAUAGAAUAACUGGUGGCUUCAGUCUUUUAUGUUAAGCAAGGAUAUUCUUAAAGGUCAUUGAUUCAGAAUUCAGACUGAUAGAUAUUUUCUUUUUUCAGUGACUGUCGGUUUCAGAGCAAUAGGCCGUUACUGCAGCCAGCAGAUAUCGCAGAACUAAUUCUCCUGGUGUAAUCCAUGACAUCAGGCUUGCACAAGUGGGAGAGCAAGGCUGUCCCUGCCCCACCAUCAGCAUGGCGAGUAGCACUGCCCAGGACCCUGUGCUGGAGCCAAGAAGUGCUGAUGGCUGUGGGACCAGGGCAGGACUGCAGGAGCCACACUGGACAUCAACACAGCCAGCUUCACAGCUGUGAUACUCAGGGGAUGUACCGGAUCUGUACGUUAAGAAAACAAAGUGGAACAAAGUUUUCAUGGGGAUAGAAGCAAAGAAAUGUGUAGUUUCUGAAUCUCCCCUGAACUGAAGUAUGUCUGAUCUAGAGCCUUACAUCUUGGGUAGUUUUGGGCAUGGGCACCUUUUCAACUUGGGACCUACCAGAAUGAGGCAACAACCAAGCAGUCUGAGAGGUGGCCACCUCGCUACUGGACCAGCUCUCUAGGUGAUGCAUCAGCUUUUAUUUGCCCCCAACCUACCCACAUUAGCUGUUACUGAUCCUUCCUCCUGCUGGUGAGAAGGAAGCAUCUUGUGCCUUCUCAGGUGUCCAUCAAGGCAAUCUGAUAUUUUGCUGAAGUUUCAGUGUCCUGCACCUAGACUCUGUACAGGGAGAUAUCACCUUCAUUUCCAAGCCUUCUUUUUUUUUUCCUUUAACUGAAAGGAACAAGCAAUGCUUGAACUGCAGCUUCUAACAUCUGCAUUACUCUAGAUAAGAUCUUGCUGACCCUGUAAGAGAUUUCACAACAAAAUAAAUUAUUUUGUUGCAUCAAUAUGAUUUAUGAGUAUUGAAAUGCAGACAAGGGAAAUAAAUAUCUAAUAUGAGGAAAAAAUAUGCUGCUUAUGUAUAUAAAUUGGAAACAUUGGCUUUCUUGUUAUGGCUCCGAAGAAGCUGGAUCAGAUUAACCAUAUGACCCAGAAUAUAAUGGAGUGUUUGCAUUAAUUUCAUAGACCUCAGAAAAUCAGUAAAUUGGUGUCUGGAAGGGUGAAACAGCUGUCCUGAGUUUAAAUUUUUAUCUAUCGUCUCUAGUAGGUUUUAUAUGUACUAAUCUGCAUUACACAACUUGGUGAAGCCACCACCUUUCACUUAACACUGCAAAUCCCAGUGUAAGAUGUGCAAAUUCACUGAUGAAGCCUAAUCAUCUGGGAAGAGGAACUUUCCUGAUGCUUGACUAAAGAUACAAGGGAAGAGAAAAACACAGUAAGUCAGAUCCACCCUAAAUGAGCAUUACCCUGAGAAAAAGCCUGGAGAGGCAGAUUUCAAAUUAUGCUGUCUGGAAGGGAGUUGGUAGAAGCAAAGAAAUUGCCUUUGUUUACUUAAUCCCUCCAAUGCCCAAAGGAAUAGGGCUCAGAAAUGCUGUAACAGCAUUGCAUCAAUUUCUCCUGAGCAGAGUAACUUGUAAGGCCUCCACAUUUUUGGCCAGAAAAAGUCUUGGACUGACUGGUUUGCAGCUGCUUUAGGAUCAGUUUUUAUAGGUUUUCUAACCUUAUCCUUUUUUCCCCAGUUUGCUCCAUUUUAUCAGUCUUGUUUUGGGUUGGUACGUGUUGUCACUCCUCUGCCAGGGAGGAACAGAUUAGAGGCUUUGCAGGUUGCUCUCUUGUUGAUCAAGAAACCUGUGCUGUAGGAAUUCAUCUCUGACAUUUGUUUCCUUUACCUGCACACUGUGUGUGUAGAUACAGACAGAAAACAGAUUUGAGAAAAUCCCACGUCAAACCUAACAGCACCACAUGGACCUGCCACAGCUGCCAGCAGUGUCUGAGCCUCCUUUUUGCUGUUGGUAAAUCACUGGCAUGUAGUGACCACUGCACAUUUAUUCACUUAUUUAACCUUGGUAAAGAUCAAAAAGAAUUAAGCUUAAAAUAGAGAUAUGCAAAAGAUCCCCUAGUACUAUUAAAAGUAAGAUCUUUUCUACUACUGCUUAAGACAAUUUUUGUCUAAAGGAUUCCUGACUUGGUUGUAGGAUGUCAGCAAAAAAAAAAGACAUUUUUAUGUCUUUCAGUUGUUUCCCAAUUUAGAUGCUUUCUUGUUUUAUUUCUUUGCUCUAUAUUAGAAGGUUCCAACUUAUUUUUCCUGUUUCCCAGCAUUUCUAAUGAAAACUUCAGCAAUAAAAGAGCAAUAAAAGAUAAA